UACGAAGGGGGCUAGCGUUGCUCGGAAUCACUGGGCGUAAAGCGCACGUAGGCGGACUCUUAAGUCGGUGGUGAAAUCCUGGAGCUCAACUCCAGAACUGCCUCCGAUACUGGGAGCCUUCGAGUCCGGGAGAGGUGAGUGGAACUGCGAGUGUAGAGGUGAAAUUCGUAGAUAUUCGGAAGAACACCAGUGGCGAAGGCGACUUACUGGACACAUAUUGACGCUGAGGUGCGAAAGCGUGGGGAGCAAACAGGG
rnacentral:rRNA from 1 species